CGGUGUGCGGGUCCCUGCUGGCAACAGGUGGUGGGCGGAGCCUGUCAUUCAUUCUGAGUUCUCAUUUCAAGUCAGCAAGGCAAUGAAACAUAUCAAUCUUGAGAUUUAGUCAUUAUUAAUAAAGGAAUGUGCGGGCAAAGUGACAGAUAUGGUAACCUGCAUUCAUGGUGACGAAAAUGACGACAAGCCGUGCAGUACAGGGACUGAGAGGAUGGCAUAAGUGACUUGCUUUGGCAUGGGAACACGGGAGGUGUUACGGUAAAGGUUGAUGUUGAUUGAUUAUUUUGUUUGAAAUUUGGAAGCCCUAUAAACAUGGCUGAAUGUCUUACCCUGCUGGAGCGUGCCCAGCUAGCAGCACAUUAUGAAGUUUGGAAAUCCAUUGUUCAAGUGCAAAGAUGGUGGAGGACCAUUUGAGGACUACAGUUCAAGUUGAUGCAAAGACAAUCAAGAACUGUCAUGCAAAACUCAUGGCUACAGGGUCUGCAGCUGAUACUCAAAGAAGCGGUCACCCUUCCAAGUCCAGCAACCAGGAGACCAUGCAAGCAGUUCAAGAAAUGUUUACAUGUAACCCAAAAAGUCAAUUCGACAAGCAGCAAGAGAAACUGGCUCUCCUUUAGUACAAUAUGAACUGUGCUUAAAUGGCAGCUUAAAUGGCAUGCUUGGAAGCCACACAACUGCCAAAUACUCUCUGCUGAAGACUGUGACAUUCGCAUGGAGAAUAUGCUGGCUUGGUAUGAAGACUGGUCAGAUCCCUUUAAAAAUAUCCUCUGGAGUGAUGGUGGUAUUUCACAUUGAUGGGUUUGUGAACUGUCACAACUGUCACUAUUGGGCAGGAGAAGAUCCUCUUGUAAUCUCUGAAAAAUGCAGAAUCGGCCCAAAGUAACGGUGUGGUGUGGGAUGACUUCAGGCAGGAUCGUGGGCUCAUUCAUUCUACGCGAUACCAUGAAUGAUGAAAGGUACCUUACCAUGCCGCAAGAUGAAGUCUGGCCAGUUAUUGGUGCCUGGGAGAAUGCUGAAGAUUUUAUUUUCAUGCAAGAUGGUGCCCCUCCACAUUUUGCUAUUGUCAUUUAUGAAUGGCUGAAUGCCCACUUUCCUGGGAGAUGGAUGGGUCGUCAUGGUCCAUAUGAGUGUCCAACCAGGAGUCCUGAAUUAACACCAUGUGCCUUUUUUCUUUGGGGUUGGUUAAAGGAGCAAGUCUACUGUACCAAACCAAAGAUUUUGGAAGAACUUGAAGGGGAAAUACAAGAAAUUGUCUUCCAUUCCACAAGAGUUUCUGGUGAAAUCAAGUGACACAAUUCCUGAGUGGCUCGAGAAGCUGGUAGUGAAAUCUGGUGCCCAUAUCAAGUUUUAAAUAGAACCUCAUGGUAAAUGCUUUUCUCUCAUAUCCAUUUCUUGUAAAAAUUAGUUAAUAAAUAAAUUGUAAGUAUUUCAAAAUGGA